rnacentral:rRNA from 1 species
UUACGCUGUUAUCCCUAAGGUAAUUUAGUCUUAUAAUCAACAAAAAUGGAUCAAAAAACUAUAUAUAAAUAUAAAAAAUUAAAAAGAGUUUAUUAAAUCUUUCUAUCACCCCAACAAAAUAAAUUAUAAAAUCAAUAAUAAUAUAUUAACAAAUACAAAUUAUACAAUAUAUUAAACUCUAUAGGGUCUUCUCGUCCCACAAAUAAAUUUAAGUAUUUUAAACAUUAAAAUAUAAAUUACAAAUAAAUUUACAAGAAACAGUUUAAUUCCUCGUCCAACCAUUCAUUCAAGCUACAAUUAAAAGACUAAUGAUUAUGCUACCUUUGCACGGUCAAAAUACCGCGGCCCUUUAAAAAUAUAUCAGUGGGCAGGUCAUACUUCAAAUUAUUAAUCAAGAAGAGAUGUUUUUGUUAAACAGGCG